rnacentral:rRNA from 1 species
GUGGGGACACUGUUGGGACCGCCUCUGCUAAAGAGAGGAAGGAAUGGGCAACGGUAGGUCAGCAUGCCCCGAAUUAUCCGGGCUACACGCGGGCUACAAUGGUCAGGACAAUGGGUAUCAACACCGAAGGUGAAGGGCAAGUCUCCUAAACCUGUCCUUAGUUCGGAUUGUGGGCUGCAACUCGCCCACAUGAAGCUGGAAUCUGUAGUAAUCGCGUCUCAAAAUGGCGCGGUGAAUAUGUCCCUGCUCCUU